UCUUGAUUGGUCUAGUGGUUAGGAUACCUGCUUGUCAUUUAGAACACUCAUCUAGUGUAGUGUAGUGUCUCACCAACGGUGGAUCAGCUAAGUAACAAUUUCGCAGGUGGCCGGGGUUCGAUUCCCCGAUCGAGAG